GCAGCCGUAGCGGGUGAUAGCCCCGUACACGAAAUCAUGGUUGUGGAACUAGGCUUGCGACAAGUAGGGCGGGACACGUGAAAUCCUGUCUGAACAUGGGGGGACCAUCCUCCAAGGCUAAAUACUCGUAAUCGACCGAUAGUGAACCAGUACCGUGAGGGAAAGGCGAAAAGAACCCCGGAAGGGGAGUGAAAUAGAUCCUGAAACCGUGUGCAUACAAACAGUCGGAGCCUCUUCGUGGGGUGACGGCGUACCUUUUGUAUAAUGGGUCAGCGACUUACAUUCAGUGGCAAGGUUAACCGCAUAGGGAAGCCGUAGAGAAAUCGAGUCCGAACAGGGCGACAGUCGCUGGGUGUAGACCCGAAACCAAGUGAUCUACUCAUGGCCAGGAUGAAGGUGCCGUAACAGGUACUGGAGGUCCGAACCCACUAAUGUUGAAAAAUUAGGGGAUGAGCUGUGGGUAGGGGUGAAAGGCUAAACAAACUUGGAAAUAGCUGGUUCUCUCCGAAAACUAUUUAGGUAGUGCCUCAAGUAUCACCAUCGGGGGUAGAGCACUGUUAUGGCUAGGGGGUCAUCGCGACUUACCAACCCAUUGCAAACUCCGAAUACCGAUGAGUGCGAGCUUGGGAGACAGACGUCGGGUGCUAACGUCCGGCGUCAAGAGGGAAACAACCCAGACCGCCAGCUAAGGUCCCAAAGAUUGGCUAAGUGGAAAACGAAGUGGGAAGGCUAAAACAGUCAGGAGGUUGGCUUAGAAGCAGCCACCCUUUAAAGAAAGCGUAAUAGCUCACUGAUCGAGUCGUCCUGCGCGGAGAUGUAACGGGGCUAAGCCAGUCACCGAAGCUGCGGAUAUGACGUAAUUCAUUACGCCAUAUGGUAGGAGAGCGUUCUGUAAGCCUGCGAAGGUGUCUUGUAAAGGAUGCUGGAGGUAUCAGAAGUGCGAAUGCUGACAUGAGUAGCGAUAAUGGGGGUGAAAAGCCCCCACGCCGUAAGCCCAAGGUUUCCUGUUCAACGUUCAUCGGAGCAGGGUGAGUCGGCCCCUAAGGCGAGGCAGAGAUGCGUAGCUGAUGGGAAGCAGGUUAAUAUUCCUGCACCGUCGUGUGAUGCGAUGGGGGGACGGAUCGCGAAUGGUUGUCCGGGUGUUGGAUGUCCCGGUUCUUGACUUGUAGAAGGCCCUUAGGCAAAUCCGGGGGCGUAAUUCAAGGGGUCGAGACCAGCGGCUUUAUGCUGCGAAGCAAUCGGAAGUGGUUCCAAGAAAAGCCUCUAAGCUUCAGUCACACGAGACCGUACCGCAAACCGACACAGGUGGGCGAGAUGAGUAUUCUAAGGCGCUUGAGAGAACUCGGGAGAAGGAACUCGGCAAAUUGGUACCGUAACUUCGGGAUAAGGUACGCCCUAGUAGCUUGACUGGCCUGCGCCAGAAGGGUGACGGGGUUGCAAUAAACUGGUGGCUGCGACUGUUUAAUAAAAACACAGCACUCUGCAAACACGAAAGUGGACGUAUAGGGUGUGACGCCUGCCCGGUGCUGGAAGAUUAAAUGAUGGGGUGCAAGCUCUUGAUUGAAGUCCCAGUAAACGGCGGCCGUAACUAUAACGGUCCUAAGGUAGCGAAAUUCCUUGUCAGGUAAGUUCUGACCCGCACGAAANUCUUGAUUGAAGUCCCAGUAAACGGCGGCCGUAACUAUAACGGUCCUAAGGUAGCGAAAUUCCUUGUCGGGUAAGUUCCGACCUGCACGAAUGGCGUAACGAUGGCCACACUGUCUCCUCCCGAGACUCAGCGAAGUUGAAAUGUUUGUGAUGAUGCAAUCUACCCGCGGCUAGACGGAAAGACCCCAUGAACCUUUACUGUAGCUUUGCAUUGGACUUUGAACCAAUCUGUGUAGGAUAGGUGGGAGGCGAUGAAACCGUGGCGCCAGUUGCGGUGGAGCCAACCUUGAAAUACCACCCUGGUUUGUUUGAGGUUCUAACCUUGGUCCGUUAUCCGGAUCGGGGACAGUGCAUGGUAGGCAGUUUGACUGGGGCGGUCUCCUCCCAAAGUGUAACGGAGGAGUUCGAAGGUACGCUAGGUACGGUCGGACAUCGUGCUCAUAGUGCAAUGGCAUAAGCGUGCUUAACUGCGAGACUGACAAGUCGAGCAGGUACGAAAGUAGGACAUAGUGAUCCGGUGGUUCUGUAUGGAAGGGCCAUCGCUCAACGGAUAAAAGGUACUCUGGGGAUAACAGGCUGAUUCCUCCCAAGAGUUCAUAUCGACGGGGGAGUUUGGCACCUCGAUGUCGGCUCAUCACAUCCUGGGGCUGUAGCCGGUCCCAAGGGUAUGGCUGUUCGCCAUUUAAAGUGGUACGUGAGCUGGGUUUAAAACGUCGUGAGACAGUUUGGUCCCUAUCUGCCGUGGGCGUUGGAAGUUUGAAGGGGGCUGCUCCUAGUACGAGAGGACCGGAGUGGACGAACCUCUGGUGUACCGGUUGUCACGCCAGUGGCAUUGCCGGGUAGCUAAGUUCGGAAGAGAUAACCGCUGAAAGCAUCUAAGCGGGAAACUCGCCUUGAGAUGAGACUUCCCGGGAGCUUGACUCCCCUAAAGGGUCGUUCGAGACCAGGACGUUGAUAGGCUGGGUGUGGAAGCGCAGUAAUGCGUUAAGCUAACCAGUACUAAUUGCCCGUGCGGCUUGUCCCU
rnacentral:rRNA from 1 species